rnacentral:lncRNA from 1 species
GCAAGGAGCUGAUCGCUUAGUAAAAGGAAGAAUCUCGUUUCCUCUCAAUGUCGCACUGCUCCCUGACGAAUUCAAACGCAAGCGCGUAUUAUUGGAUUUGGUGAAAUAGGGCUUUGUGUAUUUUGUGACUGGUAUAAGGUGUGGAUUGAAUGAAUCGCGUGGUGUUAAGCGCGAAAGCUAUGACGAACAGCCGCUUUGAAGCCACUCCCCUGAAAGUGGGCAGGGCAACGAGGUAACUAUAUGAAGGCGGGCCAGUGGAACUCGCCGUAGUACUUCGUACACGUGCUUAGAAGUGGUCAUACUCAGAGCUAGGGCCAAGGGUGAGGAAGGUGAUAAGAAGAGAGAAGAGUUUUAAAAACUGACAAAUUUACCCUUUGAUGGAUUUAUAUCAUGCUUUUGCCCUGUCUUGGAGUUGGAAAAUGUCUAAGUGGAAUAUGAAAGUUGUGCCAAUUUUAAAACCUGUAUUUAUCGUAAUGUUAUUGACGCUGUACGUCGUGCCUGCUGAUGCCGCCUUGUGUGGCAAUCGUCGAUGUUUUAACUCUGGUACAUUACUGUUAGGCCAGUCAAUUUUUAACAGGUGUCGAUGUGAGUGCCCACCAAAUUAUUUCGGUCUAUCCUGUCAAUACACUGUGGCUCGAAAAAGAAGUCUGGACAAUUUUUAUGAAAUUAUGCGACGUUUGCAAAGUAUAUCGGAUGCCCAACGCCACAGAACGCGGAGGUAGCAGAACAUGGAGAAAGUUUGCUGGGUCUACAUUCGGACAUAAGUCAACUUCGGACAUUCCUAAUUCCGGACACACGGCCUUGGUGCCAUGGACAGCUGAUGCCAAACAGCGUUGGAUCUGAGUAGCGUUCCGGUGUUACAGGACCUCUGAUGCCAAAGCUUAUCCUAUCCGGCCGGAUGCUAUAUUUUGUGAUACAGAGCAUGGCAAUGACCGGCGUCACGUCACCGGCAAGAAGCGGGUGACGAACAACGUUACCUGAACGUUCGACGUCACUGUCACCGUCAUUAUUUAUUGUGAACGAGAGUUGUGAUGCGUAUGAGGAUAUUUUCUGUCGAAGACAUAGAUUAACCGUUAUAUAUAUUUGUGCUUUCAUGGGGUUGUGCAAUUUUCAAAGCUUGUUUUUGGCUGUUUUAGGCCUCGUGACAUUUUUCGACGUCAGAAUACUGUUUUCCCGACAACUGACAAACUGGUUUAUGCUGCUAACUACUGCCCGAUUGACAUUGCUUUCAUUGUAGUGUGAUCCUGGAACUUUCAGCUGCCAUUGUCAGGCUUCAGCUGACUUACAUUACCAAUCUCAGAACUUUUGCUUUCGUUUUCCGUUUACAUAUUUGUGUGUCUUACGAUAUAAUGACGUCAUACCUCGUUCAAACCACAAUCUUACAUGAGAGAGGACCUGUGGCUUGACUCCACAUUUAUACUGAUAUUAUAUACCGACCAUAAAUAUAUUUACUAUUAUGAGAUGUGACUUGCAUUCAGGUGCUAGCAUAAUGAAUAAAAUGUUAUUUUUAUUUGUUG